CUCUCAGCAGCGCGUACACGGAAACCUUGGCAACGGCGGAUGGUAGAGGAGAGCGAGAGAGAGAGAGAGAGAGAGGGAGAGAGCACAAAGGGGGGAGACAGGCAGGUUUAGAUGAAUGAUCAUCAUCUCACUGACUUACUGUCAAAAUGUCCGAGUGUCAAGUGCUGUCCGGUGAAGAUUAUCAGAUUAUCCAUGCUGGAAAUCCAUCGUUAACAGUUGUUGACCCUUCCAGGAAGCCUUAAAAUUGUGCAGAGAGGCUAAAUGAAAAGAGUUGUUACCUCAUUGAGAAGUUGAGAAGAUGUGCUGCCUGUCCCCUGCAGUUCUCCAGACACAUAAUGGCUUUGCAUUCGUCAAAAUGUCUCAGUAUGCAGUCCUCCCCUAUUGACUCACACAUCCUGUGUGUGAUGGGAAAGCAGAGCAGUGUGACAAAGGGGUCACGAGCAUCUUCUCAGAGCAUCAAGGGUCAUGUGAGCGACAGUGAGAAAGGCUCCGGUCCAGGAAUAAUACUUCAAGGCAGAUGGCAAAGACUCCUUGAGGACAAAACUUGUAU